UUCAGUAUGAAUAAUUAUUAACAAUUGUUUUUUAACAGCUUCCAGUUACAAUACAUGUCCUAAGCCUGUUCUGCUUUAAGAAAGGAGAACAAAAACAGACAUUCAGGAGAAGAAUUCAGUCCGUCCCUGAGAUUGGUUUGCAGCGAUCGACAUGAAGGACGUGUACUUUCAUGUAUCGAUCCUUCCGUGCCACAGAGAUUUUCUGCGGUUUGCGUUCAAAGGACAGGCAUAUCAGUACAAGGUCCUGCCCUUCUGGCUAUCCCUGCCUUCCCGUGUCUUCACGAAAGUCGUGGAGGUGGCUCUUGUUCCCCUCAGAGAGCAGGGUGUUCACAUUCUCAACUAUCCAGAUGAUUGGGUGAUACUAGCACAAUCUCGGGAUCAGUUGUACGAGCACAGGGACCUUGUGCUCCGGCACCUCAGCCUGUUGGGCCUUCAGGUCAGCUGAGGAAAGAGCAAACUCUCGCCGAUGCAGAGGACCUCUUUUCCUGGAAUGGAGUUGGAUUCGGUCGAACAGACAGCACGCCUCACAGAGGAAGGUGCGCAGUCGGUGCUAGCCUGCUUGAAUACGUUCAAGGGCAGGACAGUGGUCCCACUGAAACUUUUACAGAGGCUCCUGGGGCAUAUGACGGCUGCAGAGGCACUUACACCGCUUCAAGUUACAUAUGAGACCGGUCCAGCACUGGCUUUAUGGCAGAGUCCCGAGGUGGGCGUGGAAGCGCGGCACUCACCAGGUCCAAGUUACACCAGCCUGUCGCCAAACCUUCACCCCGUGGCCAGAUCUUGCAUUUCUCCGGGCAGGGGUGCCCCUAGAGCAGAUCUCCAGGCAUGCUGUGGUUUACAUGGAUGCCUCCACCACCAGCUGGGGGGCCAGGUACAACAGGCAUGCAGUCUCAGGGGUUUGGACGCGCCCGCAGCUGCAGUGGCACAUCAAUUGCCUAGCGUUGUUAGCAGUGCACCUUGCCUUGAACCGUCUCAAAGGUCACUUACGAGGCAAGCAUGUGCUGGUCCGAAUGGUGGUCUGCGCUCCCAUUGCAUAUCACAACUCGCCCGCCACCUCCUCCUUUGGAGUCGGAAGGUUCUGAGGUCACUUCGUGCCGUUCACAUUCCGGGCCUGCUCAACCGUACAGCCGACGAGCUGUCUCGAGCAAUGCUCCCGGGAGACUGGCGACUCCAGCCCCUGAUGGUCCAGCUGAUUUGGAGACGGUUCGGAGCCGCUCAGGUAGACCUGUUUGCUUCCCAAGAGACCUCUCACUGCCAGUUGUACUCCCUGACCGAGGGAACUCUCGGCACUGACGCACUAGCACACAGCUGGCCACGGGGCCUACGCAAAUAUGCGUUUCCCUCAGUGAGUCUAAGUCCGGGAGGACGAGGAGCAAGUCCUGCUAGUGGCGUCGUAUUGGCCCACUCAGACCUGGUUCCCCGAACUAGUGCUCCUCGCGACAGCCCCUCCUUGGCCGAUUCCUCUGAGGAAGGAUCUACUGACUCAGAGACGGGGCACCGUUUGGCACCCGCGUCCAGACCUUUGGAAACUCCAUGUCUGGUCCCUGGAUGGGACACGGAGGUUCUAGGUGACCUACCCCAGGUGGUAGUGAACACCAUCACUUCGACAAAGGCACCAUCUACGAGACACGCUUAUGCCUUGAAGUGGAACCUGUUCAUUGAGUGGUGUUCUUCUCGCCGAGAAGACCCCCGAAGGUGCCCGAUUGCGAUCGUGCUUUCCUUUCUGCUGCAAGGGCUGGAGCGAAGGCUGUCUCCCUUCACCCUCAAAGUCCAGGUUGCCGCUAUUGCUGUGUACCAUGAUUCCGUGAAUGGGAAGUCUUUAGGUAAGCAUGAACUCGUCAUCAGGUUCCUUAGAGGGGCCAGGAGGUUAAAUCCUUCCCGGACCCCCUCUAUACCCUCUUGGGACCUGACUCUAGUGCUAAAAUCACUACAGCAGGGCCCAUUCGAGCCUUUGCAUUCAGCUGAGCUAAGGUUUCAUUGAAAACUCUGCUCCUGCUUGCACUGGCCUCCAUCAAGAGGGUAGGGGACCUGCACGCAUUUUCGGUCGAUGAUUCGUGCCUAGAGUUUGGGCCUGCAGACUCCCAGGUAAUCCUGAGGCCCCGGCCCAGCUACGUGCCCAA
ensembl:lncRNA